rnacentral:misc_RNA from 1 species
UUUUUUUUUUUUUUAAAUCUUUGUAUGAAGAGAUGCUAUGGAAAUUUGCUCCAUGCUCGAAAACCAAAUGAAGCAAUAUGGAAUGUUUAUAUUCAUAUUCAAAUAUCAAAAUUUUCAUUGCUUAGGAAAUUAUAUAAGACACUAAUUUUAGAGAAAUUUGAUGAUUUCAUGGACAUCCAAAAGCAAUAACCUUAUUGGAUGAAAAACAUUACGUUAUGAGGCCAAAUGGGUACCAAACAGGGGCAUAAAAAGCUGCUAAAUCUAUUAUCUAUAGGCAAUUGUUGAUCACUAAUCUGGUUGGUCUGCGUACCUGAUUCUGGUGUAAAAUGUUCAACACACCAGUUUUAGGAGAUGUAGGUUUAACAUUGAUGCAAAAAAGACAAGGCAAGAUUUCCUUGUAGUUAAAAACUCAGCUGAACUUCAGAAAUUUUAUUAUUAUUAGUUUCUUUAUGUUGAAGUUUAGAUGAGUGCGUUGUCAGUAACCAAUUAUGCUCACGAUGUAUUUUAUGCUUAUGUUAUCUAAUAUUUGUUCACUCAUUUCUGUUAACAAAGCAGAUAGUAACCCUGUAAGAUGUUGUUGAGGAGAUUGUUG